ensembl:lncRNA
GGCAGGUAGCCUAGUGGUUAUAGUGUACGGGCGGCAGGUAGCCUAGUGGUUAGAGUGUAGGGUCGGCAGGUAGCCUAGUGGUUAGAGUGUAGGGACGGCAGGUAGCCUAGUGUUUAGAGUGUAGGGUCGGCAGGUAGCUUAGUGGUUAGAGUGCAGGGACGGCAGGUAGCCUAGUGGUUAGAGUGUAGGGUCGGCAGGUAGCCUAGUGGUUAGUCAUCCCUACCGCCUCUAUCAAUAUAACAUGUUGUCAUCCCUACCACCUCUAUCAAUAUAACAUGUUGUCAUCCCUACCACCUCUAUCAAUAUAACAUGUUG